rnacentral:rRNA from 1 species
AAAGGAGAGAUCCGGCAUAGGAUGGACAUGCGUCGCAUUAGGUAGACGGCGGGGUAACGGCCCACCGUGCCGACGAUGCGUAGGGGUUCUGAGAGGAAGGCCCCCCACACUGGUACUGAGGCACGGACCAGACUCCUACGGGAGGCAGCAGUGAGGAAUAUUGGUCAAUGGCCGAGAGGCUGAACCAGCCAAGUCGCGUGAGGGAAGAAUGUCCUAAGGAUUGUAAACCUCUUUUGUCGGGGAGCAAAAAGGCUCUGCGGAGUCGUAUUGAGAGUACCCGAAGAAAAAGCAUCGGCUAACUCCGUGCCAGCAGCCGCGGUAAUACGGAGGAUGCGAGCGUUAUCCGGAUUUAUUGGGUUUAAAGGGUGCGCAGGCGGCGUGUCAAGCAAGCGGUAAAAUAGCGGGGCUCAACCCCGUCGAGCCGUUUGAACUGGCGCGCUUGAGUUCAGGCGAGGUAGGCGGAAUUCGUGGUGUAGCGGUGAAAUGCAUAGAUAUCACGAAGAACUCCGAUUGCGAAGGCAGCUUACCAGUCUGCGACUGACGCUCAGGCACGAAAGUGUGGGUAUCGAACAGGAUUAGAUACCCUGGUAGUCCACACAGUAAACGAUGAGCGCUAGGUGUCCGGGUCGCAUGAGACUUGG